UUUAAGACUUUAAGUUUUUAAGAGGAGUCA
rnacentral:piRNA from 1 species